rnacentral:sRNA from 1 species
GGGGCUCGGGUUCGGCGCGCCCCUCACCGGGCCGCCGUCCCCGUCCCCGUCCCCGCCGGCCGCGCCAAACUCUAAAUUUGAAAAAGCGUACUGCACGUUCUGAUUCAAAACAAAAAACAAGUCAAAACUUUUAACAACGGAUCUCUUGGUUCUGGCAUCGAUGAAGAACGCAGCGAAAUGCGAUAAGUAAUGUGAAUUGCAGAAUUCAGUGAAUCAUCGAAUCUUUGAACGCACAUUGCGCCCGGCAGCAUUUUGCUGGUCAUGCCUGUCCGAGCGUCAUUUCUUCCCUCGAGCGCGGCUAGCCCUACGGGGCCUGCCGUCGCCCGGUGUUGGGGCUCUACGGGUGGGGCUCGUCCCCCCCGCAGUUCCCCGAAAUGUAGUGGCGGUCCAGCCGCGGCGCCCCCUGCGUAGUAGAUCCUACAUCUCGCAUCGGGUCCCGGCGAAGGCCAGCCGUCGAACCUUUUAUUUUUCAUGGUUUUGACCUCGGAUCAGGUAGGGUU